UACGUAGGGGGCUAGCGUUGUCCGGAUUUAUUGGGCGUAAAGAGCGUGUAGGCGGCCAUGUAGGUCCGGUGUGAAAACUCGAGGCUUAACCUCGAGAUGUCAUCGGAAACCAUUUGGCUAGAGUCCGGAAGAGGAGAGUGGAAUUCCUGGUGUAGCGGUGGAAUGCGCAGAUAUCAGGAGGAACACCGGUGGCGAAGGCGGGAUCCUGGGCCAGUACUGACGCUGAGGAGCGAAAGCGUGGGGAGCAAACAGG
rnacentral:rRNA from 1 species